rnacentral:rRNA from 1 species
UACGGAGGGUGCAAGCGUUAAUCGGAAUUACUGGGCGUAAAGGGCGUGUAGGCGGUCCGCUAAGUCUGAUGUGAAAGCCCGGGGCUCACCCCCGGAAGGGCAUUGGAAACUGACGGACUCGAGUCCCGAAGAGGAGGGUGGAAUUCCUGGUGUAGCGGUGAAAUGCGUAGAUAUCAGGAGGAACACCGGUGGCGAAGGCGGCCCUCUGGACGGUGACUGACGCUGAGACGCGAAAGCGUGGGGAGCAAACAGG